AUGCCAGCUGAGGCACAUACCUUCGGAGCUAAGUGGUUGCUGCACUUGACCACUAUGAAGACUGGUGUAGGAAGGGUCAUUUUGGAUGCACUUCAGCAGGGGUCCCCAACCCUGAGCCAUGGAGCCGUAAGGAGCCACACAGCAGGAGGUGGGACCAUCCAGUUGCAGGAAAACAAGCUUAACACGCCCACUGAUUCUACAUUAUGCUCCUACCUCCCAGCAGCCUCGCCAGGCCCAGAACUUUCUCCAGUCAGCCUCCACAGACCAAGCUCAUGACUCACAAUGGCCUAUUUAGGCCCAUACCCUACCUCACAGCAGUCUCCGCAGAUGAGGCUACUGCCUCACAACAGCCUCCACAGGCACAGCUCCACCGUUACAAUGGCCUCUUUAGACCCAGCUCCUGCCUCCCAGCCUUCUCUCCAGGCCCUGAACUUUCUCAAGUCGACCUCACCAGGCCCAGCUCAUGCUUCUUGGCAGCCUCUCCAGGCCCAGCUCCUGCAUCUUGGCGGCCUCUCCAGGCCCAGCCUCUGCCUCCCGUCGGCCUCUACAGUCCCAACAUCU